AUACGGAGGGUGCAAGCGUUAUUCGGAAUCACUGGGCGUAAAGGACGCGUAGGCGGGUUGGCAAGUCAGAUGUGAAAUCCUACAGCUUAACCGUAGAACUGCAUUUGAAACUGCUAACCUAGAGUAUGGGAGGGGGAGAUGGAAUUAGUGGUGUAGGGGUAAAAUCCGUAGAUAUCACUAGGAAUACCGAAAGCGAAGGCGAUCUCCUGGAACAUAACUGACGCUAAGGCGUGAAAGCGUGGGGAGCAAACAGGAUUAGAAACCCUUGUAGUCC
rnacentral:rRNA from 1 species